AUUGAACGCUGGCGGCAUGCCUUACACAUGCGAGUCGAACGGUAGCGGGCCUUCGGGUGCCGACGAGUGGCGAACGGGUGAGUAAUGUAUCGGAACGUACCAUUGAGUGGGGGAUAACGUAACGAAAGUUACGCUAAUACCGCAUAUUCUCUCCGGAGGAAAGCAGGGGACCGCAAGGCCUUGCGCUCUUUGAGCGGCCGAUAUCAGAUUAGCUAGUUGGUGAGGUAAAGGCUCACCAAGGCGACGAUCUGUAGCGGGUCUGAGAGGAUGAUCCGCCACACUGGAACUGAGACACGGUCCAGACUCCUACGGGAGGCAGCAGUGGGGAAUUUUGGACAAUGGGGGCAACCCUGAUCCAGCCAUGCCGCGUGAGUGAAGAAGGCCUCGG
rnacentral:rRNA from 1 species